GCUCCCCCAGAGCAGAGGGGCCCGCGAGAGGGAAAGCUGGCCCAGGCCCAGGGCAGGCUCGCCUCUGACUCUGCAGGGACAUUCUUUCCUCCCAGCCAGCAGGGAACUUCUGGAACUUCUAAACAGCACAUCCUCGAGCCAGCCCAGGCCCCCACGGCAUCCUGCACCCCAGGUUCACAAGCUUUUUUAGUGAAACCAGAGCACCACAGCCAGCUCUAGCCCGGAGGGAAAGUAAGAGGAUGUUUUUGCAGCAGGUGUCCUUUCUCCUGUAACUACUAAACUGUCGCCCCUCACUAAAGAGGAUGCCUUUGCCUACGCUGUCCCCACCCCUUGAAGCGAGCUUCCUCCUCUAUUGGGAUAGAGACAGAGUCUCACUCGGUCACCCAGGCCAGAGUGCAAUAGUGCGAUCUUGGCUCACUGCAGUCUGAACCUCCUGGGCACAAGCAAUCCUGCUGCCUCAGCCUCUCAACAACCUGGGACUACAGGUGCAAGCCAUCACACUCAGCUAAUUUUUAACUUUUUUGUAGAGACUGGAGUCUCGCCAUGUUGCCCAGGCUGGUCCUGAACUCCUGGUCUCAAGCAAUCCUCCCACCUCGGCCUCCCAAAAUGCUGGGAUUACAGGUGUUAGCCUCCGUGCCUGACUGGCCUUCACAUUUCACUUGGCCCUCCCGCUUUUUCUCUCUUGUCAUUUGUUCAUUGAGGAUUCUGCGUCAUUUGCCCUAUAGAAUUUCCCAAAUUCUGGAUUUUGCUGAUGAAAUCCCCCCAACACCACCACCACUUACCAUCCCUAUCUUCCUCCUGCAUUUCCUGUAAACUGGUGGCUGAUUAUAAAACUCUUCUCCUUUUUAACAGAAGCAGAGGGAGAAGGAAAGGGGGAAGGGAAUUAUUUAUCAACACCUACUGUGUGCCAGGCACUGUGUGGGUUCUUGUAUAAACAUGAUCUCAUUUAAUCCUCACUGAUACCCUUUGAGGUGAAUAUUUAUUAUCACUAUUCUUACAGAUGAGGAAACUGGGACUCAGAAAAUCUGAGUCUCACAAAUUGAUCUGACAAAACUGGAAAAUGACAGAACCAGGGUUGGAACCUGGCUGUGUUUGACUCCAGAGCCCCUUCUCAUUGCACUACGCAGCCCCAGAGUGAAAAGGGGCUUGGCACAUUAGUGAUGGCGCAGGAAGGAGGUCUAGCUAGCCUGAAUCUUGGGACUAUUAUUCAUACUGUUCAGUGUUAAUAAUACACAUUGUGACUUCAUAUGUGCCAAGUACCUUACAUGCAUCACGAGGAUCUGGACAAUGGAUGCUUUAUUAUCCCCAUUUUACUGGUGGGGAAACUGAGACAGUGAGGUCCAGAAAGGGCAAGUAGCUUGCCCUGGGCAGUGCAGGCGGUCUCACCAAGUUUUGCUCCCAGGUUUAUCUGCCAGUGGCGCCCAUGUUUCCACCACUGUCCUACAUGGCCUCUCCUCACGAAUGGCUCCAACCUCCUGGAUACGAUGGAUGAAGCUGGGUGCAGAGAUGGAAAGAGCAGCCCAGCUUUCCUAACUGGAGGACUGAAGCGAGAGCUCUCACUGUUGGCCUAGUGUGGAUCGACUCCUGUCCACCACAUUCCCCAACCAAGGACAGUCUACACCAAGCUCACAGCACUGAGGCGCUGGGGGAGGGCCAGCCCACACCUAGCCCCGUCAAUCUUGGUGGCAUGGACUCCCUCCUAAAGCUUUCUCAGGAGGCCCCAUUUCCUACUGCAGCGGGGCAAGAAUUCAGGAGGAGCCCACUCAAAGGGGAGACAGAGGCAGUGCUCCCUGUGAGCAGCUCUUCCUCCCCAGAGCUGUCAUGGACAAUUGGAGAGAAAAACCGGGACAUUCUCCCCCACCAGGAUAUUUUGUAUGCUUUGCACUUACUGCUGUGUUCCCUUCAUCUAAAAGCUCUAAAAUUUCAAAUAAAAAGGUACAAUGAAAGCA